rnacentral:lncRNA from 10 species
AGCCUCCCAAAGUGCUGGGAUUACAGGCGUGAGUCACCGUGCCCAGCUGUUUUUUUAAUUAGUUGUCAAUUAUUUCCAACUUGUAAAAAUUAGGAGAUUCAACACUACUUUCUACAUUUUUUUAUUCUUUUGCAAAAAUCUGGGAAAUCUGACAAUGCUGGGCCUGCUGUCCAAGAGGGCAGAUGUGGGCAGGAGCUGGGUAGCAGCUGCCACUUCUUCAGGAAACCUAAGUCCCAGUUGUCAACAGUUCCUCCCAGCCUGCUGAUUUUGUGACCACUUGAGUUUGGGGCCUCUGAACUAGAGAUUUCUUUUUUCUUUUUUUUGGAGAUGGAGUUUCACUCUUGUUGCCCAGGCUGGAGCGCAAUGGUGCGAUCUCGGCUCACUGCAAUCUCCGCCUCCCAGGUUCAAGUGAUUCUCCUGCCUCAGCCUCCCAAGUAGCUGGGAUUACAGGCACCCAUCACCACACCCGGCUAAUGUUUUAGUUUUUUGCAGAGAUGGGGUUUCACCAUGUUGGCCGGGCUGGUCUUGAACUCCUGGCCUAAGGUGAUCCACCCACCUCGGCCUCCCAAAAUACUGGGAUUACAGGUGUGAGCCACUGAGCCUGGCUGAUUUCAUUUUGUUUUAAGAGAUUUGGCCCAUGAGCCCCUAUCAUGUGUCAUGCACUCCCCUGGGGAGAAACAGUGAAGCAGACAGAGGUGACACGACCCUUCCCCUCUUGCAGUCACAGGUUGACUAUAUGCAGAGGUCUCUCAAAGUGUGCCUCAUGGGUCCCUCAGAAUCUGGUUAAGAUGCAGAGAAAUGCCUGGGCCCCAACCCAAAUCUGCUAAAUCAGAUCUUCCGGGGGUGGAAUCUGGAAAUCUCCAUUUUUAGCAAGCUCCCUGGAGGAUGACCUUAGCCACAUGAAAGCUCUUGCAGCCGUGGUGGAAAGGAUCAUCCACGGUGACUUGCAGCUGUGAGUCCAUGAGUCUAGUACACUCUCUCAGGCCUUGAGCGGGGAAGGAAUCAGGGCUUACUGAGCCACCCCCAUCUUCCAGGCACUGUGCUAAGUCCUUUCCAUACCUCAUUUCAUUUCAUCCUCGCAAUAAACCAGGUACUGUUAUUACCACCGUGAAACAGGUGGGGAAACUGAAGCAUGAGGAGCUUGAGUAAUGUGUGUUAGAUCACGCAACCAGUAGUGGCAGAGCUGGAAUUCCGACCUGGGACUGCCUCCAAAGUUCUUGCGUAAGAAUACAGCUGCUACACUUGCCCUUCUUCAGCUGAGACCAAGGAGGGAAUUCUGAUUGAAAGCAAACCAGGGAGGAAAGAUGCACUAGCACUGACCUGUAACAGGUCAAUCUGUGCCAUGGCAUGGCGAGACGAAGUGGAGAACCCAUGUCUCAUUGGAAUCCCGGAUCAUCGUCUCCACGAAGGCUGUCUUCUGCAGCACUCCAGGGACUCACGGCUCUGGGCUUAUUGCUCAGUGUCAUGUGACACAAAAUAUAUUGCACAAGUAUUAUAAAUCUGUUCAGUUCAAGUGCCAGAGAACAUUUACUCUGCUUCCUUCAUGAGUGGUGAGCAUGCCUGCUCCCCUACAAACUCACCAGCUCAGAGCAUUAUCAGGCUUCUCAUCUCUGCCAACCUGGUAAGUACAAAGGGCAUCUCUUGUAGUUUCGGUUGCAUUUUUCUCAUUAUGAGAUUGAGCAGCAGACAAUGUCUUUAAAAGACUUAUUUUGCUCUGGGUUUUAAUCUUAAAAUACUCUAAAUCCUCUUAGAAGUAGGUAGGGUCAGAUCUUCAAUCUGGAUGGAUUUACGUAAUGGGUCUAUGAAAGGGAUAGAAAGUCAAAGCAAGGGGGUGAGGCGGGGGAAUGAUGCGAAGUCAAAGCCCUCCCCCUCGGGGGCCCCUAGCCCAUCCCUGAUCCCUCACCCUUUGCAGGGCAUGUCCAGAGCUGCCACUGCCCUGGGCCUCCACCCCACAGCCCAGGACCACACCUUAACCUGGAAAGUCGUGGACCUCCUCAGGGGAGCUCAGGGAUCAGAUGGGCCGAUGGGUGUUACUGUGGCCAGGAGCACUGGGUCUUGAGUAUGUGGGUGGAACUUUCCCUCAUCCCCUGACCACGUCUAACCACAUGGCCUCUCCACUUUGAUAGUGGCGAGAAGAGUAGCCUCUUGCUUUUGCAUGUUUUCCUAAUCACAGCGUGCUUUCUUGUCUGCUAUUUCAUUUGACUUUUUUCAACCAGCCGCUGAGGUGGGGAUUAUUAGCACGCCCUUUGCAGAUGAGGAAACUGAAGCCCAGGGAGCUUUGGCAACCUGCCCAAGGUCACACAGCCAGUGAAGGAAAGGGCUGAAAUCAAACCAGGCCUGUCUGACUGCAAGGCAGGGUCUUACGGCUGCCUCCGGUGGGUAGGUCCGGGACCCAGCUGGUUUCCGUCCUGUGGCUCAGGUGCGAGGAGAGCCUCCCUGGGCCACCUGGGGAAGUCUGACUGACGUGCCAGAUCCUCACAGAACAAAGGUAAGGCCUCAGCCUUCCCCCUGGCCCAGGUCUUUCCAUGUCCAGUGCAUUCCUGAAUGCUCCCAGUACUCUGGAAAAUGGGGAUUCAUGCUGCCAUUUUAAUUGGAACCCAAUCUGUUCUGACUUCAAAUCUAGUGCUCCUUCUCCAUCCACCCACCCUCCCUGAACCAUGCCCAGGAGAUCGAGAGAUUUUCCUAAUAAACAAGUCAUGUGCUACAAUGCAUGUGCUACACAACCACUGCCCGCUUUGUCUCUCCCCCUAGGAGAGAAGGGGACUCCUGAGAGGCCCCAGCAGCGUUAUCUGGGCAGAGAAAGUGAGUUUGAAGACCUCACACUCCAUCUGGACUUUAUCAGCUCCUUUCCUGGGUAGGAUUACAGUAAACGAUUAUCUACAGAUCUGGAGCCAGCAAGGACUUUGAAGGCCCCAAUUGCCAAGGGGGUGGUGAAAUGGGGGAAGGGCUGGAGACGCAGGAGAUGAAAAAGCAGUGCAGGCAUCUUAUCUUCCUCCUGAAAUCAAACAGGCUGGGCCUGGGCAGGGUGGGAGAGGUACCCUGUCUGUGAGGCUGACAGUCUCUAGCCCUGGCUGGCCACAAAAGAUACAGAGAGAACCAGAUGAAGGCCCUUCACUGUCUUCUCCUGAUCCUCUCUCCCUCCUCCUGGUUUCUUUUAUUAAUUCAUUCAUUCACUUGCAUCUUUCAGCCUGUUAGUUACAAUAUCUGACACGCUCUGAGCUCUCCCGCCAAGCCAAGUGCUUAGCAUCCAUCCCCUCAUGUGGUCUUCACCAUGACCUUCUGGGAGAGGUGCCAGAAUUAGGCCCAUUUUACAGAUGAGGAAAAUGAAGCCCCAGAGGCUAAGUAAUAGGAUGAGCCUGGGAUCACACAGCUAGUAAAUGGUAGGGUCUGGAUUCUCUUAAACCUGCAUACAUUUAUUCUUCCAUUUCCCCCUGCCUGCCUGCUUUCCUCUCAUAAUUCAUUUAUGUAUUCAGUUUUUCAUAUUCCCAUUGCUUGUUCAUUUUGAAGUUCCUUCCCUUCUUGCUUAUGCAUUUCUUCUGUCCCUUCCUGUCUUCCUCCUGUCUCUUCCUUCCUUCCAUGACCACAUCCUGAGCCUACUGUGUGCCCUGUCACCCUGCCAUCAGGACAUGGGGCUCCUGACAGAUGACUGCUGGGGAGGGAUAUGUGAGACCACCUCCUCCAGGGUCGACCUCCUCAAAUGAGGCUUUUGGGCUGUGCCUCCCUAUGCCUGAUUUGUCCCAGUGUUUGCCAAAAAUUUUAGGCUUUGAUAAUCUUGUGAAGAUGUUUCAGCCAAGCAAGUCUUGAGACUCCAUUGGUGUGGGAGUAAAAGUGGCCUGGGGAAGCCACUUCUUGCAGUUUCCCCUAAGCAAGGCUCUUUCUGUCCUUGCUGUUCUGACAUCCACUCCCUCAGCAAACAUCAUUAAGGACCUAUCAUGGGCAGCCCCUGGGGCCCACUCCCAUCCUCUAGCUGUCUCGAUUUCAUACCUCCCUAGCUCUAGAAAAUUCACUCCUAGAAGGCAGGGAAUUGGCGUCAAGGAACGGGUUCACAGCCUUGGACUCCUUUAUUCAUUCAUCUUUUUUCCUAGCACCUAACACAGGGCCUGGCUUAGACUGAAGGCUAAUAAAUACAGGAUCAAAAGGCAGUGAACCAUCAUUCUCUGUCACUCUCCAGGAGCUGGCCCACUCACCGUGCUAGACAUUGUACUGGAUAUAGUAGUCCCGCAUCGUUGUAUCACUCUCAUUUCUAGCUGGAGAAGUACCCCUCCUUUUCUAGGUGCGGUUAUGGGGUCGCUAUCACCUGAAGUGCCCGCCACUCACCCUGUAGUCUUGGGUGGGUAUGUGAUCUCAGCUAAAACAGUCGAGGUCUCUCUCCCUGGGCUUGGAAUUGUAAACCAAGUGAUGCAGAGAAAGAAAAAACACAAGCCCUUGGAGCCCAUCACAUCCCAUCACCGAUGAGGCUGUCCAGCGGUUCUGGCCCUCAGAAGCCCCAGAGAACUCCAGUUUCUGUCCUUUUCCGAGUGUGGCUUUCUGUCCACUUUAUGGCUGCUCAACCUCCCUCCAGUAUGCCCCUUCUCCCCUUAGUCAGUGAAUGUCUGUUUCUGUGCUUGCAAAUGAUAAAUCCUAAAUGAUGCCCCAGGACAUGGUUUCCAAGGCCAGCUAUUGGAGCCUCACCAGAAAUGUUCAUUCUGCCUCAUCAGUGUCUUGGCUAUUGCCUUUUUGGAACUGCUCUGACCUCUCCUCUUUCCAUCCUGCAGCACCCCCUCUCUCAGCACCAGGGAGCUCCUCCAGGAGCACUUCCUCCCAUGUCUGUGUUCGCCGUUAAGACUGGACACACCAGGAUGAUCUUUCAACUUUGGGUCCAAAGGCCCUCAGUGGAUGUAAAAUAGGUACAUGAGGCCUUGAACUGAACAUUUUUUUCACUUCACCAUAACCUGGAUUUUCCCAGUUUAGGAGCAUCUGUUUGUCUUGAUAACGUUUGGAACAAAGUGAAAAAAACUGGACUUUGAAGAGAACUUCAGGUGAAUUACACAUUUAAGUCAGAUUUUCCAUGUCUUUGUCCCAUGUUCAGUAAUUCAAGCUGUUAGGAGCCCUCAACUUUGUACAUAUAUUUCCUUCCUAUCUCUGCCUCUUCAUACCUGGUACUUACCGUGGAAUUUGAAAUCUUUCUGUGGCUGUAAGCAAGAAAGGCGGGAAAAAUACAAGAAGUUAAAGGGGAUUGGAUGGUUCAGAUUUGGUUGAUGAAUGAGAUGGUUUAGAGGCAUGUCUUGUAAGAGAUAAUUUUCUAUGUGCCAGGUACUAUUUAUGAAUCCCACAUUAUCUUAUUAAUGCUCACAACAAGCCUUGGGGGUAAAUAGAUUAUCAUCGCCAUUUCACAGAUUAGGAAAGUGAGGUUUCAGCAGUCAAUUGCUCAAAGGUCUCCUGCUAGUGAAACAGUCGUCUAUCCAAACAGUCUGAAUGACCUGUGCACAUGGGAACGUGCCACGCAAGCCAAGGGCAGGAAGGAUGAGAAGAGGUGGGCAGAAAGCCAGCUGGGAUGAAUGAAGGACCUACUACGUGCAGGCCCAGGGUCAGACAUUUUAUUUUCUUGAUUGCACUUCAGCCUCCCAGCAGCCCUGUUUUACAGAUGAAGAAACUGAGGCUCAAAGAGCUGGAGAAAGUUGUUGCCCAGGGUCCUGUGGAGAGAAAACUCAAGCUCCGGCUGUUCCACUACUCUGGGACACCACCCCCAGUGGGAACCCCACUUUUACAAGGAUUCGAAGGUAGGUGAGGACUUAUCUCCUGAAAUAAUUAGUAUACUUACUUUUUUGUUACAUAUUCCCACUAAAGGUUUGCAGCCCCACCCAGCUUGAAUAUCAGGAGAAUGGCAACAAAAUCUGGUUCAAGGCUCACAGAAUCCACGAAAGAUGCCAGCCCCUCCACGGUUGGAGAGUGAUUCACAAAUGUGUCUUUAAGGACUUUCCCAGGCCGGGCACAGUGGCUCACACCUGUAAUCCCAGCAAGCCGAGGCGGGAGGAUCACCUGAGGUCAGGAGUUUGAGACCAGCCUGGCCAACAUGAUGAAACUCCGUCUCUACUAAGAAUACAAAAAUUAGGCAGGCGUGGUGGCAUGCACCUGUAAUUCCAACCACUUGGGAGGCUGAGGCAGGAGAACUGCUUGAACCGGGGAGGCAGAGGUUGCAGUGAGCCAAAAUCACACCGCUGCACUCCAGCCUGGGCAACAGAGUGAGACUGUGUCUCAACAACAACAACAACAACAACAAACAGAAAAAAAAGAAAAAAAAAGGACUUCCCCAUCUCAGAGCAGAAGACAAACCCAGGUGACUCUGAGUCUGCACAGAAAAGGCAAGGGUGACCAAGAGUGAGGAGGUUAAGCACCUGUUGCUUUCAGCUCAGGUCCUGACCACAGCCCUUAAUAAGGACAAACCUCUCAGAUUGCUGCAGCCUUCAAUACGCAUGUUCCUAUAGUGCCUGGCCAAUAAGAAGUACUUACACAGUAGCUGUUAUUAUUGUAAAGGCGGCGCAAAGAGUUAAGGAAGGCCGGUAGCUAAGCUGAAUCUGAGUUGCAUCUUGUAGGCCAUGGUAUGUGAAAGAAGGGCAGGCCAGGAGGGGGAACAGAGUGAGUAAAGCCCAGAGGCAGGGGCAUGGAAAAGCAGGGAGGAGUUAAGCUUGGGGCAAAUAUCCUAAAUGAAGGGGAAUAAAAGGCAACAAAGUUUGCAAGUUGCACCGGGGCCACAUCUUGGAGUUGUUUGAGAACAUGUCCCAUGAGGCUGCAUUUAACACCAGCCACUCGCGCUUCCACCCCAACAGCAGGAGUAUCACAUCCACAUGCCAUGUGCGCAAUUCCUUACUUUAUAUCCUCCUCUAAGAUAAAUCUACCCUCCCUCUUUUUUAAGCAUAAGAGCAUUUAUUCUAAAAGGAAACUUUUGGCCAGGCAUGGUGGCUCACGCCUGUAAUCCCAGCACUUUGGGAGGCCUAGGCUGGUGGAUCAUGAGGUCAGGAGUUCGAGACCAGCCUGACCAACAUGGCAAAACCCCGUCUCUACUAAAAAUACAAAAAUUAGCCGGGUGUGGUGGCACGUGCCUGUAGUCCCACCUACUCGGGAGGCUGAGGCAGAAGAAUUGCUUGAACCCGGGAGGCAGAGGUUGCAGUGAGCUGAGAUCACACCACUGCAGUCCAGCCUGGGCAACAAAGCAAGACUCUGUCUCAAAAAAUAAAUAAAUAAAUAAAUAAAAGGAAACUUUUGCUCACUAAUGGAAAUGGAAGUGGCACCUGUCAUAGGCAGAGACAAAUUGUCAAAGUAAACAACUUUUAAGUCUCACUAGACACUCCUGCCCCAGCAGAAUCUGGUCAAAAGCUAGGUCAGCAAAUUUCAGAGGCAGUAUUAAGGACAAAGUAGCAACAAUCCAAACUUUCUUUUUAGGUACUCAGAAAGACUAACAGAACAUUGAGAAGGGGUGUUAGUCACAUCCCCAAACUGCAAGAGGCCAGAAGAUAGCGAGGGGUCUUUCAAACAAUCUAAAAUCUGAGACCCCAAUGUUGGAAAAGAGAAGGAAGGGAAUGGGUUAAAGUGCCAGUUGCUCCCUCCUCAGAUAGCAGGGCCCUGGACAUCCCUAAGAUGUCCCCUUCCUCUUUCAUCCUUCCCUGAUUCCAGCCUCCCCACCUUCCCCAGGCUGGCUUGCCUGAUUUUGUGAGCUCUUCAGCCGGCUUAAAGUGUAAUUCUGUAUUUCUGAUUCUAUCUGUGUUCCAGGAGGCAUUAUCUCUAUCUCUGUAAUAGCUUCUCAAGCAAAAACAUUUUACUGGGUAAAAGAGCAAGGAAUAGGCAUGACCUGAUGCUGAUUUAAAGCAAGAUUCCAGGCAAGCCCCAGAGCCCUCUCUAAGUAGCCUCUCUCCUUUCUGCUGUCUAACGAAACAGCUCCUAAUGGCCAUGGUAUCAUAUUGUAUCUCAUAUUUACACAGCACUCGGCACACAUUCACUUAUUCAGCGGACAUCCAUUGAGGGCCUAUUAUGUGCCAAGUCUUCUGGGUGCUGGCAAUCAACAGUGAACAAAGACCCGUGAGGUUCUUGCUCUACUUGGGAAAACAGGCAAUAAACUCUGAAACAAGUAAAUAAACACGAUCAUGAUGAGGCUACUGAAAAAGCAAUGUGGUAGCAGCGUGACGAUGAUGUGCCAUGGGAGACAGGUGGCAACAUCAAAAAAGGUAGACUGCCCCCGCCCUCCGAAGAGGUGGCAUGUGAGCAAGAAGGAGCCAGCCAAUGGAAAGCUCUGAAAGCAGAGUCUUUUAAAAACAAAACAAAAUCAAAAAACAAAAACAGGGCUCAAAGAAGAUGUCUGCACUUCUGCCAGACGGGGCAGAAAGAAGAUAAUGGUGCUCCAAUCAGGGAGACUGUGGAGGCAGUACAGGUGACAGGAGGCAGGGAAACGAGAAUUAGCCAGAAACACAGUAGGUUUGCCAUGUCAGUCAGACACUCGAGUGUGUUCUUGCUCUUCUCAACAAACCAUAAAGUAAGGACGAUCAGUGUUUCCCAUUUUACAGACAGGAAAACUGAAGCUCGGGAAGGCUACCCAGGUACAUAGGGGCAGUGGUGGGAUGUGAAUCUAUGGUUUAGGAUGCUGACGCCAGCACUAUCCCACCUGCCUCAUGGUAGAGCAGUGUCCAGACACAGAGGUGGCAAUGCAGCAGCUCAAGUGGCAGCUCCAGCACUGCAUGUGUUUUGUCCGUUCUACAUGGGUUUGGAAAAACUCACCUGAGCUAGCGAUCAACUCUUAAAUAUAACCCUUCACUCAAAAAUCUGGCUGUCUAUCUGAAAAUAUUUGAAGACCUGGUCAUAGUGGGACCAUGAUUUGAAUGACAACAAUGGGCUGGAGCAGUAUCUCUGCCCACCUUGAGAGAGGGAUGGGCACUCUGUUUUUCCACAGCCCCCACCUCUCCCGAUUGCUUGCCCCGGCCCCUUCACUCCUCUCCAUUGCAUUCAUGGCCUCCCUAUGCAUUCGGCUUUGAGGCCCCAGCUCUCUAGUGAUGAAAUAUGUGGGAAGAUCCACAAAGCCCAGCAAACGAGGAGUGACCAGAGGAAUUGAGUUACAGUUCCUCCCUAGAACACUUUCCUGCCUUUCUGAUGUAAUCACUUUGCGCAAACAGUAGGAAAUGUUCAGAAGAGCUGCUACAAGGCGGUGAUUAAGAGGUCAGGCCUGGUUCUUAAUUCUAGCUUCAGCAAGUCCUAUCUGUGGGACUUGGGCAAGUUCUAAAAACCUCAGUUUCUUUAUCUGUAAAGCGCAAAUAAUAAUAAUGCCUACUUUAUAAGUAGGAUUAGGGGAAACAGUAAUUUAGGAAACGUGCUCGGAAUGAUGCUAGUUUCGUGGUGAGUAUCCAAUAGAUGGAGCCGUAGUUGUCUUUCUCAUCUUAGAAAGCAGCUGAUUCUCCCAUGUCAUGACAGUGUUUGUGCAACUCCUCUGGAAUUCUCUCCUUUCUUCCUUAGGAGAGCAUUUUCUCAAUGUUCCUCUUUAUCUUUCUCCAAACACAAAGACAAAUCUAAGAGGAAAAAAAAAAUCUUCAAACUGGGUCGCAGAUACUCAGCUUCUUGUCAAUUCUCAUUAGGGUUUAAAAGCUCAGUCUCCUGCAUAUGCCCAAAGAUAAAGCAAUCCCUUCCAUUCCUAAUUCAAAGAACCAAAAAAAAAAAAAAAACAUGUGGUUGGACCUGGUUGAAUAUAUAAACUUUUGGGGAUGGCAAUAAACUAGGCAAAGUCCUGGUUAUUCAAUUUAUUAGCUCAGUUGUGCAACGUAGAAAUAAACAGAAAAUUACUUAUAAUUUUACAAUAAUAUUCAUUUAGAAACAUCACUUUUCUCCAUAUACGUGUUGCAUGAAACAGCUUUACUCCAUUCUUUGCCACACAUAAGGAGGCCGAGGAGGGAAGAUGGCAUGAGGCCAGGAAUUCAAGGCUGCAGUGAGAUAUGAUUGCACCACUACACUUCAGCCUGGGCGACAGGGUGACACCUCAUCUCUAAAAAAUAAAAUAAAAUAAUAAAAAAAUUUUGGAAAUUUUUAAAGCGUCUGCUCCACAGAGCCACAUUUUGCAUUGUGCAGUUUCGUUUUUCAGACCUUUCUCCUCUCUUCCAUCUGACUGCCCUGAGAUCCAGCACUUUUUGCUUCCACAUCUGAGGCUGUCGCUGGAAACAAGGUCUCCAUCCCAUUUGCAUGACAUGAGCACAGUCGGGAUUUGUAUUCAUUCUGUGGGUGUGUGUAUAUUCGUGCUCUCCACAAAAGAACCACUCAGCAUUGCUUUUUCAAGCCGAGCUUUAAAAGGCUUAUUUGCCAUGACAUCCAGCACUUGUAAUUUGAGGUCAUACCCCGAGGAAGAAUUGCUAAAUCUGUGUAAAAUGUUUCUGACUCCUUUUCUUACAGAUUCUGUCAGAUUAUCUCUUUAAGAAUUCUAAGCCCAUGUUGUUUGAGGUGGUUUUAGGCUAAUGUACAUUCCCCAAACAUUUCUUUGCUGUUCAAAAUAAAGCAAUUGAGAGGGUUCUUCGUAAAAACGAAGCACUUUGCAAGAGCUCAAGACAAAAGACAACUCCCUUUUUUCUAGGGGGUAAUUUUGAGGAUAGAAGAAAAACAGUGUUCUAUGUAAGCCUGUACAAUCACGAGAGCCAUUUGCUGAGGGCCAUGUGUGCGAGUGGUUCGUGUGCUCUCCACCUCCUCUUCUUCCUCCCAGGGGAUGAAAUGAGGCCCAACAAGUGCAAGACAUGGACCAUGUCAGCUCGUGACAGAACAGGGCUGGAACCCAAGUCUGCUAGGCUCAGCCCACUCCCUCCCUGUGCCGAGUUGACAUAUUCUACUUACAUUAAGCCAAGUGCUGGGCUCUGAUUAUACAAAAUCAGAUAAGCCAGGACCCUGUGUUCAAGGAGCUCCCAGGCCUGCUGGGGUGAGAGUGGAGCAGCAAGGAUGGAAGUGCACAGAUGCAAGGGUGGCCAGGCCUAUGGGGAUACAGGCAAGGGAGGCUGAGUGUU